AAUUCGCCCUUAGAGUUUGAUCCUGGCUCAGAUUGAACGCUGGCGGCAGGCCUAACACAUGCAAGUCGAGCGGAUGACAGGAGCUUGCUCCUGGAUUCAGCGGCGGACGGGUGAGUAAUGCCUAGGAAUCUGCCUGGUAGUGGGGGACAACGUUUCGAAAGGAACGCUAAUACCGCAUACGUCCUACGGGAGAAAGCAGGGGACCUUCGGGCCUUGCGCUAUCAGAUGAGCCUAGGUCGGAUUAGCUUGUUGGUGAGGUAAUGGCUCACCAAGGCGACGAUCCGUAACUGGUCUGAGAGGAUGAUCAGUCACACUGGAACUGAGACACGGUCCAGACUCCUACGGGAGGCAGCAGUGGGGAAUAUUGGACAAUGGGCGAAAGCCUGAUCCAGCCAUGCCGCGUGUGUGAAGAAGGUCUUCGGAUUGUAAAGCACUUUAAGUUGGGAGGAAGGGUUGUAGAUUAAUACUCUGCAAUUUGACG
rnacentral:rRNA from 1 species